CUCAUUGGUUCGUUCCAGCCCUGUGUUUGGCCUGGGUCCAGCAGGUUCUUGAGCAGGCUCCUCUACUAUGUUACCAGGCCUUCUUCAGAGGAGCUGUGAUGAUCUCCAUCCAGGACAUCCUGAGGCCCUCCUCAGACCUUCCCUGUUGUUUCCGCCCACCACUGGGUGAAGUGGGUCCAUAGCAGGUGGGAUGCUGGGAGGGAGCUGAAAAGAGACUUCCUGAUUAAGAACGAGGGGCACAAACAUGGACAGAUGUUUUCCAAACCCUAUCUGGCCCAAACCUUCCAGCUACCAUCAACCCCUCCCAUCUACCAUUCAGAACAGAGGCGUGAUGAGUCUGGAGGAUCUGUGACCAUGACAACGAGGAGUUCAAACAAAUCCACACGGACUACAAGGGGGUGAAGCUAUGGAAAAUCUCUCAUGGCAGGACUCAUGGCCCUCAAUAUACUGGAGAACUUUCCCAUCAAAGGAAUCAAAAAGAAAUGACCACACAAGGCCACCUGUUAGUCUCAGUGAGGAUCUUGGGUUGACCCAUCUCGGCGUUCCACAACAAACAGCCAACACUGGGUCUGCUCCAGAACCGUUGCAACAUGGUGUAUCCGGAGGCAGAGUAUGUGAGUGGAGUGGAGCAAGAAGUGGAGUGGAGCAAGAAGUGGAGCUGGAGCGGAGCAGGGACUGGAGCUGGAGCGGAGCAGGGAGUGGAGCUGGAGCG